rnacentral:rRNA from 1 species
AGAAUCAACGCUGGCGGCGUGCCUCAGACAUGCAAGUCGAACGAUUAAACUUUCCUUCGGGAAAGAUAUAAAGUGGCGCACGGGUGAGUAACACGUAAGUAAUCUACCUUUGAGUGGGGAAUAACAGUCGGAAACGGCUGCUAAUACCGCAUAAUGCAGCGGCAUCGCAAGAUGACAGUUGUUAAAGGAGCAAUCCGCUUAAAGAGGAGCUUGCGGCAGAUUAGCUAGUUGGUAAGGUAAUGGCUUACCAAGGCUACGAUCUGUAACCGGUCUAAGAGGACGGUCGGUCACACUGACACUGAAUAACGGGUCAGACUCCUACGGGAGCAGCAGUCGGAAUUUUGGGCAAUGGGCGAAAGCCUGACCCAGCAACGCCGCGUGAAGGAUGAAGUAUUUCGGUAUGUAAACUUCGAAAGAAUAAGGAAAGAAUAAAUGUACGUACUAAUUUAUAAGGUUCCGACUAACGUACGUGCCAGCACGCCGAC